rnacentral:rRNA from 1 species
UACGUAGGGGGCAAGCGUUGUCCGGAAUCAUUGGGCGUAAAGCGCGCGUAGGCGGCCCGGUAAGUCCGCUCUGAAAAGUCCAGGGCUCAACCCUGGAAAGCGGGUGGAUACUGCCGGGCUAGAAUCCGGAAGAGGCGAGUGGAAUUCCUGGUGUAGCGGUGGAAUGCGCAGAUAUCAGGAGGAACACCAAUAGCGAAGGCAGCUCGCUGGGACGGUAUUGACGCUAAGGCGCGAAAGCGUGGGGAGCAAACAGG